rnacentral:rRNA from 1 species
AAUAAACGUUGGCGGUGCGCCUAACACAUGCAAGUCGAGCGAGAAAGGCUUUCGGGCUGAGUACAGCGGCAGACGGGUGAGUAACGCGUGAGAAUCUGCCCUUUAGUGGAGAAUACCUUCGAGAAAUUGGAGUUAAUACUGCAUACGUCCCUCCGGGGUGAAAGAUGGCCUCUUUGCUAUCGCUAAAGGAUGAGCUUGCGUACUAUUAGCUAGUUGGUAGGGUAAAGGCCUACCAAGGCGAUGAUGGUUAACCGGCCUGAGAGGGUGAACGGUCACAUUGGAACUGAGACACGGUCCAGACUCCUACGGGAGGCAGCAGUGAGGAAUAUUGCGCAAUGGGCGCAAGCCUGAUGCAGCAACGCCGCGUGAGGGAUGAAGGCCUUCGGGUUGUAAACCUCUUUUAGCAGGGAAGAAGCGAAAGUGACGGUACCUGCAGAAAAAGCACCGGCUAACUACGUGCCAGCAGCCGCGGUAA